rnacentral:rRNA from 1 species
UGUAACAAGGUCUCCGUUGGUGAACCAGCGGAGGGAUCAUUAC